rnacentral:rRNA from 1 species
AUGAACGUUGGCGGCGUGGAUUAGGCAUGCAAGUCGUACGGGUCGGUGUAGCAAUACAACGGCAAGUGGCGAAAGGGAGAGUAACGCGUAGAUACCUACCCUCUGGUCGGGGAUACCGCGGCAUAACCGCAAGUAAUACCCGAUAAAAUCUCCGGAUCAAAGGUGUGAUUCCGCCGGAGGAGGGGUCUGCGUUUCAUCAGCUUGUUGGCGAGGUAAUGGCUCACCAAGGCUAAGACGAAUACGGGGUGUGAGAGCAUGCCCCCGCUCACUGGGACUGAGACACUGCCCAGACACCUACGGGUGGCUGCAGUCGAGAAUCUUCGGCAAUGGGCGCAAGCCUGACCGAGCGACGCCGCGUGCGGGAUGAAGGCCUUCGGGUUGUAAACCGCUGUCGAGGGGGAUAAAGUGCAGGUGGGUACUCCCAUCUGUUUGAUAGAUCCCUGGAGGAAGCAUGGGCUAAGUUCGU